UACAGAGGGUGCAAGCGUUGUUCGGAAUUAUUGGGCGUAAAGCGCGUGUAGGCGGCUUUGCAAGUCGGGUGUGAAAGCCCUCAGCUCAACUGAGGAAGUGCGCCCGAAACUGCAGAGCUUGAGUGCCGGAGAGGGUGGCGGAAUUCCCCAAGUAGAGGUGAAAUUCGUAGAUAUGGGGAGGAACACCGGUGGCGAAGGCGGCCACCUGGGCCGACCCUGACGCUGAGGCGCGAAGGCGUGGGGAGCGAACGGG
rnacentral:rRNA from 1 species